AUUGAACGCUGGCGGCAGGCCUAACACAUGCAAGUCGAACGAGUGGCGGACGGGUGUGUUAUGUCUGGGAAACUGCCUUAUGGAGGGGGAUAACUACUGGAAACGGUAGCUAAUACCGCAUACCAUCGGAUGUGCCCAGAUGGGUUUCGCUAGUAGGUGGGGUAAAGGCUCACCUAGGCGACGAUCCCUAGCUGGUCUGAGAGGAUGACCAGCCACACGGGGACGGAGACACGGUCCAGACUCCUACGGGAGGCAGCAGUGGGGAAUAUUGCACAAUGGGCGAAAGCCUGAUGCAGCCAUGCCGGGUGUAUGAAGAAGGCCUUCGGGUUGUAAAGGUCUUUCAGCAGGGAGGCGUUACCCGCAGAAGAAGCACCGGCUAACUCCGUGCCAGCCGCCGCGGUAAUAC
rnacentral:rRNA from 1 species